UCCCACCUCGUGGACGUGAAUCCGCGUUCCCCGCGGGCUCGGGCUCCUCUGCGCGGGGCUGGCACCCGCCUGGGGCCGCAGUGCCGAGUGGAGGACGCCUGGAGAGCCCGGAGCGGAGCCGCCAGAGGGAAAAGCACAGAUGAGAGAUAUUUGUUGGCCUGAAGCCAUCCUUACCCACUGAGACCAGCAUCACAUCUCUGUAGAGGUUCUUCUGCACAGAAUCCAGCAAAGACCACUCCUCCAAGGUGAAGUCCACAGCCACAUCCUCAAAGACCACUGAGUCCUGACAUAUUCAAGUGUGUGGAGGAAGAAGGACUCUUCUUUUGCGACUCCGGCCAUACUCUCUGCAACAUCUGGUGUAGUCGGCAGGAUACAGUGCGGCAAACAGUUUUCGAGACUACUUUUGGUUUACAGUCGCAAAGGACCAAAGUGGAGCGGUAGGACAGACAGAGAUACCUGGCUUCUAGCCUGGCGAUCAAAACCACGAUAUGAACAGUUGGACGAAGAGAAAAAGAUUCGACAGUUUUUGACCACUGGAGGAAGAUAUGGAAGAAUUAAGCCUGGAACCCAAGAUUAUAAGGAAGGUAGAAAUAAGAACCAAAAAUACAAUGAGAGCCAAACCUCCAACAUGGGGACAAGUGAAGAUGACUCAAGAAGCCUAACAGAUCCUCCAAAAAAUGGGAACACUUAAGACUUCUACUCUGUUUAUUGCCAUGAUGUCGGUUGUUCCUUUAACUGGGAGUGCUAAAGAGAAUCACACAUAGUGGGCUUAUAUUCCAAAUCCACCUCUUAAUAGAUUAAUUGCAUAGGAUGAUCCCUCUUUCCAGGCUUACGUAAAUGAUUCAGUCUGGUUGCCUGGACCUUAUGAUAAUAGAGGUCCAUUUAAACCAGAAGAAGAAGGAAAAGUAAUCCCUAAAUAUUCUGUAGGUGCAGAGGGGCCACCUAUAUGCUUUGGAACAGGUGACCACUGUGUUUCAUUUAUAGGCAUGGAUAGCAGAAAUACCCAAUGGGACUAAUGUCCCCAUACUGUAUUUACUACAAGGGGUCUGCAUGAGAAGUCAAAAAACUACAUACAAUUACCCUCCUAAAUUGCCUCGAUGUCAAGAAAAACCAUAAAUCCUGAGGAACGGAUUAAUUGGGAGCUCUGUAGAGGAGAAGUUGGUAGAGUUCUUCUUAAUACUUCCAAAGGAAACGUCGUCAUUGAUUGGGCCCCUGUAGGCUCUGCUCAGACCAAAUACUCCAAAAAAGAGCUCUGAUGGUGUCGAUAUCAUGACAUCCUUUCAGAUAUAACAUCUGAACCCACUGUAUGGCAUGAAGGAGGGAUGACUCCCCCCCAGCCCACGUUUACCUGAUGGGCCAGUUCAUUCCGAGCUUUGGAAAAUUGGUACUGGAUCAUUAGGCACGUCCUCUUGGAAAGGCUGCUUAAUGUCUCAAGUAAAUUCUCCCUCUUUUUUAGAUUAAAUGAGACUCAUAAAACUCAA